rnacentral:rRNA from 1 species
UGGGAGGCAGCAGUGGGGAAUAUUGGGCAAUGGACGAAAGUCUGACCCAGCCAUGCCGCGUGAAGGAUUAAGGUCCUCUGGAUUGUAAACUUCUUUUCUCUGGGGCGAAAACCACCCUUUCUAGGGUAUUUGACAGUACCAGAGGAAUAAGCACCGGCUAACUCCGUGCCAGCAGCCGCGGUAAUACGGAGGGUGCAAGCGUUAUCCGGAUUCACUGGGUUUAAAGGGUGCGUAGGUGGGUCUGUAAGUCAGUGGUGAAAUCCCCGAGCUUAACUUGGGAACUGCCGUUGAUACUAUAGAUCUUGAAUAUCGUGGAGGUAAGCGGAAUAUGUCAUGUAGCGGUGAAAUGCUUAGAUAUGACAUAGAACACCAAUUGCGAAGGCAGCUUACUACACGAUCAUUGACACUGAGGCACGAAAGCGUGGGGAGCAAACAGGAUUAGAAACCCCAGUAGUCCC